rnacentral:rRNA from 1 species
CAGCAGCCGCGGUAAUACGAAGGGUGCAAGCGUUACUCGGAAUUACUGGGCGUAAAGCGUGUGUAGGUGGUUGUUUAAGUCUGUCGUGAAAGCCCUGGGCUCAACCUGGGAAUUGCGAUGGAUACUGGGCGACUAGAGUGCGGUAGAGGAUAGUGGAAUUUCCGGUGUAGCAGUGAAAUGCGUAGAGACCGGAAGGAACAUCUGUGGCGAAGGCGACUAUCUGGGCCAACACUGACACUGAGACACGAAAGCGUGGGGAGCAAACAGGAUUAGAUACCCCUGUAGUCCCUGUCUCUUAUAC